rnacentral:rRNA from 1 species
CUACCAAGGCGACGAUCAGUAGCCGGACUGAGAGGUUGGCCGGCCACAUUGGGACUGAGAUACGGCCCAGACUCCUACGGGAGGCAGCAGUCGGGAAUAUUGCGCAAUGGAGGAAACUCUGACGCAGUGACGCCGCGUGCAGGAAGAAGGUUUUCGGAUUGUAAACUGCUUUAGACAGGGAAGAAAGAAAUGACAGUACCUGUAGAAUAAGCUCCGGCUAACUAC